rnacentral:rRNA from 1 species
AAAUUGAAGAGUUUGAUCAUGGCUCAGAUUGAACGCUGGCGGCAGGCCUAACACAUGCAAGUCGAACGGUAACAGGAAGCAGCUUGCUGCUUUGCUGACGAGUGGCGGACGGGUGAGUAAUGUCUGGGAAACUGCCUGAUGGAGGGGGAUAACUACUGGAAACGGUAGCUAAUACCGCAUAACGUCGCAAGACCAAAGAGGGGGACCUUAGGGCCUCUUGCCAUCGGAUGUGCCCAGAUGGGAUUAGCUAGUAGGUGGGGUAACGGCUCACCUAGGCGACGAUCCCUAGCUGGUCUGAGAGGAUGACCAGCCACACUGGAACUGAGACACGGUCCAGACUCCUACGGGAGGCAGCAGUGGGGAAUAUUGCACAAUGGGCGCAAGCCUGAUGCAGCCAUGCCGCGUGUAUGAAGAAGGCCUUCGGGUUGUAAAGUACUUUCAGCGGGGAGGAAGGGAGUAAAGUUAAUACCUUUGCUCAUUGACGUUACCCGCAGAAGAAGCACCGGCUAACUCCGUGCCAGCAGCCGCGGUAAUACGGAGGGUGCAAGCGUUAAUCGGAAUUACUGGGCGUAAAGCGCACGCAGGCGGUUUGUUAAGUCAGAUGUGAAAUCCCCGGGCUCAACCUGGGAACUGCAUCUGAUACUGGCAAGCUUGAGUCUCGUAGAGGGGGUAGAAUUCCAGGUGUAGCGGUGAAAUGCGUAGAGAUCUGGAGGAAUACCGGUGGCGAAGGCGGCCCCCUGGACGAAGACUGACGCUCAGGUGCGAAAGCGUGGGGAGCAAACAGGAUUAGAUACCCUGGUAGUCCACGCCGUAAACGAUGUCGACUUGGAGGUUGUGCCCUUGAGGCGUGGCUUCCGGAGCUAACGCGUUAAGUCGACCGCCUGGGGAGUACGGCCGCAAGGUUAAAACUCAAAUGAAUUGACGGGGGCCCGCACAAGCGGUGGAGCAUGUGGUUUAAUUCGAUGCAACGCGAAGAACCUUACCUGGUCUUGACAUCCACGGAAGUUUUCAGAGAUGAGAAUGUGCCUUCGGGAACCGUGAGACAGGUGCUGCAUGGCUGUCGUCAGCUCGUGUUGUGAAAUGUUGGGUUAAGUCCCGCAACGAGCGCAACCCUUAUCCUUUGUUGCCAGCGGUCCGGCCGGGAACUCAAAGGAGACUGCCAGUGAUAAACUGGAGGAAGGUGGGGAUGACGUCAAGUCAUCAUGGCCCUUACGACCAGGGCUACACACGUGCUACAAUGGCGCAUACAAAGAGAAGCGACCUCGCGAGAGCAAGCGGACCUCAUAAAGUGCGUCGUAGUCCGGAUUGGAGUCUGCAACUCGACUCCAUGAAGUCGGAAUCGCUAGUAAUCGUGGAUCAGAAUGCCACGGUGAAUACGUUCCCGGGCCUUGUACACACCGCCCGUCACACCAUGGGAGUGGGUUGCAAAAGAAGUAGGUAGCUUAACCUUCGGGAGGGCGCUUACCACUUUGUGAUUCAUGACUGGGGUGAAGUCGUAACAAGGUAACCGUAGGGGAACCUGCGGUUGGAUCACCUCCUUACCUUAAAGAAGC